rnacentral:tRNA from 1 species
GGUUGUAUAGUGUAGCGGUUAUCACACCAGAUUCUGAUUCUGGUGACCCCGGUUCGAUUCCGGGUACGACCU